AGCGAACGCUGGCGGCAAGCUUAACACAUGCAAGUCGAACGAUGUAGCAAUACAUAGUGGCGGACGGGUGCAUAACACGUGGGAAUCUGCCUUUAGGUACGGAAUAACUCAGGGAAACUUGAGCUAAUACCGUAUAAAAUCUCCGGAUCAAAGAUUUAUCGCCUAAAGAUGAGCCCGCGUCAGAUUAGCUAGUUGGUGGGGUAACGGCCUACCAAGGCGACGAUCUGUAGCUGGUCUGAGAGGAUGAUCAGCCACACUGGGACUGAGACACGGCCCAGACUCCUACGGGAGGCAGCAGUAAGGAAUAUUGGACAAUGGGGGAAACCUUGAUCCAGCCAUGCCGCGUGAGUGAAGAAGGCCUUAGGGUUGUAAAGCUCUUUCAAUAGUGAAGAUAAUGACGGUAGCUAUAGAAGAAGCCCCGGCUAAAUUCGUGCCAGCAGCCGCAGUAA
rnacentral:rRNA from 1 species